AUAACAGAACUGCUUUGUCUUCGUCGUCAGACUAAGCUCGACCAAAGCGACUGUGGUCUGCGGGGACCAACCGAGUUGACUCAGGAGGCCAAAUGAAGAAAGUUUAGUGCAUGACAUGCAGUUCUAAGGAUCCAAAAACACAAGGCUGGGGAUAGCUUUUGAAGAACUACACUACAGUGACCUUAUGGUCAUCUUCCAUGUUGUUACAGUGUGAGAUAUCGGGCCUUUGAUAAUUUCUUUUGGCCAGUCUGCUUUCAGGACCAGGCGGGCUGCAGUAGGUAUCUAUUCUACAUAAUUAUUAUUUUUCAGUUCAUUCUUCAACGAGUUUGUUGUCUCUGGCAUUUACAAUUUUCUGAAGCAAUCCAGCAUCGCACAAGAUCAAAGCGCUCUGAGAAGGUAAAGAACCAUUAUCUAUCAUUCAGCCAUGCAUCGCUUGACGAAGGUACCGGUUUUUUUGGCAAGGAUAGUAAGUACUGAUGCACUUUAGGAAUGGAAAAGAUAUUAUGCUCACGGUUGCUUUCAAACUUAUAUAUGUCGACUUCAGAAUUUCACAUACCUACAAAAGAUUAGAAAUAAAUAUUUAACAUAUGUGUGUACUUCUUAAAAAACACUAUUGAAAUUAACACCAUGUAUUUAUUUGUUUAUUAAUUGGAACCAACUACUGUUACAGAUGAAGAUAAGGUGUACUUUUAAUAACUGUUUCAAGCAUGUUACCGAGACUUAAACUUAGAAAUUCAUAUACCCUAGGGCAAGCUGAUAUGUUCACUCAUUGUUUUUUUUUUGCAACGCGUUAUUUUUUUCAUUGAGACUAAUAUUUUAUUGCUUUGGUGCAUAUAUAUAUAUAUACUUUAAGUGUGUGCAUAUAUAUAUACAUUGUUGUUAUGUACUCCAUCCGUUUCUUUUUAUUUGUCGUCGAGUAGUUUAAAUUUGUACUAACGGACGACAUAUAUUAAGGAACGGAGGGAGUAUUGACCAAAGGCUCGCGCUUGCGCGAGUCAGUUACUAGUUCCAAUUAUAACCCACGCUACGAACAGAACACAUUCGCAUCUGCGGCACGGCGGCAGAGAUACUGCUUGUCCCAAGAAAAUAACCAAAAAAUUGGAGUUCAAUCCUCAACGGCAGCUCAUCAGAGACGAACGCCACCGCAUCUUCCGGGCCCACCCAUGUGAUCUACUACAACGUGGGGCAAGAACCCCACCCCACCGACCCAUCUCCACCCAGGCUCACAGACACAUGGUCCCACGCAGCAAUAAAGCUG